ACGCUCGACACCUACGGGAGGCAGCAGUCGGGAAUAUUGCGCAAUGGAGGAAACUCUGACGCAGUGACGCCGCGUGCAGGAAGAAGGUUUUCGGAUUGUAAACUGCUUUAGACGGGGAAGAAAGAAAUGACAGUACCUGUAGAAUAAGCUCCGGCUAACUACGUGCUAGCAGCCGCGGUAAUCUGAGCGGGCUGGCAAGGC
rnacentral:rRNA from 1 species